GACGAACGCUGGCGGCGUGCUUAACACAUGCAAGUCGAACGGAAAGGCCCUGCUUUUGUUCGUUGCUCGAGUGGCGAACGGGUGAGUAACACGUGAGUAACCUGCCCUUGACUUUGGGAUAACUUCAGGAAACUGGGGCUAAUACCGGAUAGGAGCUCCUGCUGCAUGGUGGGGGUUGGAAAGUUUCGGCGGUUGGGGAUGGACUCGCGGCUUAUCAGCUUGUUGGUGGGGUAGUGGCUUACUAAGGCUUUGACGGGUAGCCGGCCUGAGAGGGUGACCGGCCACAUUGGGACUGAGAUACGGCCCAGACGCCUACGGGAGGCAGCAGUGGGGAAUAGUGCACAAUGGGCGGAAGCCUGAUGCAGCAACGCCGCGUGGGGGAGGACGGCCUUCGGGUUGUAAACCGCUUUCGCCUGUGACGAAGCGUGAGUGACGGUAAUGGGUAAAGAAGCACCGGCUAACUACGU
rnacentral:rRNA from 1 species